UCUGAUACUGGCAAGCUUGAGUCUCGUAGAGGGGGGUAGAAUUCCAGGUGUAGCGGUGAAAUGCGUAGAGAUCUGGAGGAAUACCGGUGGCGAAGGCGGCCCCCUGGACGAAGACUGACGCUCAGGUGCGAAAGCGUGGGGAGCAAACAGGAUUAGAUACCCUGGUAGUCCACGCCGUAAACGAUGUCGACUUGGAGGUUGUGCCCUUGAGGCGUGGCUUCCGGAGCUAACGCGUUAAGUCGACCGCCUGGGGAGUACGGCCGCAAGGUUAAAACUCAAAUGAAUUGACGGGGGCCCGCACAAGCGGUGGAGCAUGUGGUUUAAUUCGAUGCAACGCGAAGAACCUUACCUGGUCUUGACAUCCACGGAAGUUUUCAGAGAUGAGAAUGUGCCUUCGGGAACCGUGAGACAGGUGCUGCAUGGCUGUCGUCAGCUCGUGUUGUGAAAUGUUGGGUUAAGUCCCGCAACGAGCGCA
rnacentral:rRNA from 1 species